UACGUAGGGUGCGAGCGUUGUCCGGAAUUAUUGGGCGUAAAGAGCUUGUAGGCGGUUUGUCGCGUCUGCUGUGAAAAUCCGGGGCUCAACCCCGGACUUGCAGUGGGUACGGGCAGACUAGAGUGUGGUAGGGGAGACUGGAAUUCCUGGUGUAGCGGUGAAAUGCGCAGAUAUCAGGAGGAACACCGAUGGCGAAGGCAGGUCUCUGGGCCGUAACUGACGCUGAGAAGCGAAAGCGUGGGGAGCAAACAGG
rnacentral:rRNA from 1 species